rnacentral:rRNA from 1 species
AGCGAACGCUGGCGGCAUGCUUAACACAUGCAAGUCGAGCGGGUGGUUUCGGCCAUCAGCGGCGGACGGGUGAGUAUCGCGUAGGAAUGUAUCCCGAGGUGGGGGACAACCCUGGGAAACUGGGGCUAAUACCGCAUGGGGCCUGUGGGUCAAAGCCUUAGGACGCCUUGGGAGCAGCCUGCGUCCGAUUAGGUAGUUGGUGGGGUAAAGGCCUACCAAGCCUGCGAUCGGUAGCUGGUCUGAGAGGACGAUCAGCCACACUGGGACUGGGACACGGCCCAGACUCCUACGGGAGGCAGGAGUGGGGAAUAUAGGACAAUGGGCGCAAGCCUGAACCAGCAAGGCCGCGUGAGUGAAGUAGGUCUUCGGAUUGUAAAGCCCUUUCGGCGGGGACGAUGAUGACGGUACCCGCAGAAGAAGCCCCGGCUAACUUCGUG